AUUAACACGUACCACAUUUCACUUCCAUCUUUCAAUCUCACAACACAUUCCACAUCUUCACUCUCUAUCAAAAUUCCUUUCAUUUUCAUCUCACUCUUUCCACCACUUCAACACAACCCUAAAUUCUCCACAUUACUCAAAUGGAAAACGAUACCUACCAAUCAAAGCUCAAAUCUCAGUUAGAGCUCUUAAUCGAUUUUGAAGAUGAUAAUAGAGACGACGACGAUGAUUAUGGCUUGAAAACGUUUUACCCGUGCCCAUUUUGCGAGGAUGAUUUUGAUAUUCUAGAGCUUUGUUGCCAUAUUGAUUUGGAACAUCCAAUUGAUGCUACCUCUGGGCUUUGUCCAGUUUGUGGCGUGUGGGUGGGAUCAGAUUUGGUUGAGCAUAUAACAGCUCAACAUGGAAACUUGUUUAAGAAUGAUUACAAAUCAAAAUACCAUCAUAAACAUGAUUCGUACACAAAACUUUCGUUUUCAAGAAAGGGUGAACGGAAUGGACACUUGCAAUCUUCUUCAGACGGGUUGUCUUCGCCUGUGAUGACAACCUCCAAGGCGGCUUAUGAUCCAUUUCUGUCAUUUGUAUGUGGCUCACCUGCUUCUGGUGAACAUGGAAAUGUGCAGCCUGAUUCUUCAAGUGAAGCAAGCAUUGAAGAAAUACACUCUGAUGAUACAUUGUUAGAAAGUUUGCUUGAUCCAUUGCAUUGAUUUUUAGUUUAUGGAUGAUUGUUGGUUCCAAAAGAUUUACCUCUGAGGCUCUGAUAGCACCUUUAACUUUGUGAAGCAGUAAUCUUGAAAGAGAUGUUUCACCACCUUUAUGUGAGAAAGACAAAGUUGAGAAAGCAAGGCGAAGUGAGUUUGUACAAGGGCUUUUGUUUUCGACUAUUCUUGAUCCUGACUUUUGACCCAUACAUAUCAGUUUUUAUCAAUUUGGUGGGUGGAAAAAGGAGAGAAAAAGUAGGCCAUUUCAUCUUGAGAUGAUAAUUAGUAUGUGUAAGAAUCAUAUGCAUGCAUUGUGAUGUUUCUAGUCUAUAGUAUAGAGAGCUAAGCUAUUCAAUAAAAAAAGAGAGAGAGCUAAGCUAUUUGUAGAAAUUAUAUUUAUAUAUUUAUUAUGUAAUGUACAUUCAAGUUUAUGAAAUUUAAUUAGUUUAGAAAACAUGGCAUACCCUUGUCUAGGGGUUGAACUUGGUCUUAGAUACAUUUUUCUGCUGGCCUGAGCCUGAUUGUGGCCUGCCAUAGAUUUUUCUUUUCCCGAACCAACUUUAUUGUUUAUUUAACAGUCUAUUUAGUUGUGUUUGAUAAACAUCCUUGGGAAGGUGGUACAAAAAUGAAAUAAAAAGACAGUCAACAUAAAUAUUUUGUGAAUAAUAAAGGCUUACCUAAAGAUAUUUUCCUCGGGAGCAAUGGCCACUUCCACAACCGAACGUGUAUUAAUGCAUUGGCUUUUCUAUUAUGGGGCAGUAAGUCUUACUCAAGGGUUGACUCCUUCAUAACUCAAACUUUUCCAAAAGGAGACUAAGUCAUCUUUUAAAGACUUACUCCUUCAUAACUCAAGUUUUUUCAAAAUAGGAGACUUAAGUCAUCUUUUAAAGACUUCAUACGAGGCCAAAGAGAAGAAGGGUCAACGUUAGUGUCCCUAAUGACGAGGCCAACAUAACCCUUUGUUUUUCCACCGGGAUAGAAACUCAAGGGCUCACUGCCAUUUUGGAUACAAUUCCCAUCGGAGCAAGAGCUGUCACAAAGAAUAAUGAGUUUUGCAAUGGAUCGAUUAACUACUAAAGAUGUGACGUUUGUUAUUUUUUGGUUUUG